rnacentral:rRNA from 1 species
ACGGAAGGCAGCAGUGGGGGAUAUUGCACAAUGGGGGAAACCCUGAUGCAGCGACGCCGCGUGAGUGAAGAAGUAUUUCGGUAUGUAAAGCUCUUUAAGCUGGAAAGACAAUGACGGUACCAGCAGAAUAAGCCCCGGCUAACUACGUGCCAGCAGCCGCGGUAAUACGUAGGGGGCAAGCGUUAUCCGGAUUUACUGGGUGUAAAGGGAGCGUAGACGGCAUAGCAAGUCUGAAGUGAAAUCAUAGGGCUUAACCCUGUAAUUGCUUUGGAAACUGUUAAGCUUGAGUACCGGAGGGGCAGGCGGAAUUCCUGGUGUAGCGGUGAAAUGCGUAGAUAUUAGGAAAAACACCAGUGGCGAAGGCGGCCUGCUGGACGACAACUGACGCUGAGGCGCGAAAGCGUGGGGAGCAAACAGGAUUAGAUACCCUGGUA